rnacentral:rRNA from 1 species
GAUGAACGCUGGCGGCGUGCUUAACACAUGCAAGUCGAACGGAAAGGCCCUGCUUGCAGGGUACUCGAGUGGCGAACGGGUGAGUAACACGUGGGUGAUCUGCCCUGUACUUUGGGAUAAGCCUGGGAAACUGGGUCUAAUACCGAAUAUGACAAUUGUUUGGAUGCGAUUGUGGAAAGCUUUUGCGGUAUGGGAUGAGCUCGCGGCCUAUCAGCUUGUUGGUGGGGUAAUGGCCUACCAAGGCGUCGACGGGUAGCCGGCCUGAGAGGGUGUACGGCCACAUUGGGACUGAGAUACGGCCCAGACUCCUACGGGAGGCAGCAGGGGGGAAUAUUGCACAAUGGGCGCAAGCCUGAUGCAGCGACGCCGCGUGGGGGAUGACGGCCUUCGGGUUGUAAACUCCUUUCGCAACCGACGAAGCCUUUUGGUGACGGUAGGUUGAGAAGAAGCACCGGCUAACUACGUG